rnacentral:rRNA from 1 species
UUCACGGAGAGUUUGAUCCUGGCUCAGGACGAACGCUGGCGGCGUGCUUAACACAUGCAAGUGGAGCGACGAACCGGGCUUCGGCCCGGGGCAGAGCCGCGAACGGGUGAGUAACACGUGGGUUAUCUGCCCAGUUGACAGGGACAACCCGGGGAAACCCGGGCUAAUACCUGAUGUGCCCCUCGGGGGAAAGGAAGCUUCGGCCUCCGCAACUGGAUGAGCCCGCGGCCCAUUAGCUUGUUGGUGGGGUA